CUCUCUCCCUCUCUUCUCUCCCUCUCUCCCUCUUCUCUCUUCCUUACGCCGCCGCCGCCCCCCCCUCUCUCUCGCCACCGCACCGCCGCCGUUGCUACCGCGGAUCCGCCACCGCCGUCAUGCAGAGGCAGCGGCUUCGCAUCCCUCCUCCGGCAGUACGGUUGUCUCCGUACAACAGUAGAUCGGUGCUCCCUUCCUCCUCAUCCCUCUCUCUUCUCUCCCCUCUUCACCGUCGCGCCACCAUCGCCGCCGUCGCGGAGGAUCUCCCCCUCUCCAGCCGCCGACGCCGAUAUCCGAGAGCUUUGUUGGAAGAAUGAUUGUGGAGUAAAUGUUUAUGUGGAGUUUGUGAAGAGAAUUUAGGACAUGCUGAUGGUGAUGUGUUAUAGUGAAGAAAGUAAUUUAUAUAGGAGUACAUGUACAUAAAAGAAAGUGGCGUAUAUAAGAAAGUGAAGAAAGUGAUUUGUAUAUAAGAUGCAAGCGGAUACAUGUAUCUCCUAAUAAUAUUGUUUGUCAGUAAUGAUAUCAAUUGUGUCAGAGGGUAUAAUCGGUUCAAGUUCGUGGCCGUCCGUGCUGAAGUACCCGAUUUUCUUAGAACGCAUGAUGUAUAGAUUAAAUUUUGUUGGACUUUUUGGUUGGAUGUAUCGGACAUUAAAAUUUUAAAUUUUGAGAUCUUAUUUAUUUAUUUAUUUAAA